rnacentral:rRNA from 1 species
UACGGAAGGGGCGAGCGUUGUUCGGAAUCAUUGGGCGUAAAGGGCGCGUAGGUGGUUCUGUAUGUCUACCGUGAAAGCGUACGGCUCAACCGUAUUUUGUCGGUUGAAACUGCAGGACUUGAGGCUGGGAGGGGCUGGUGGAAUUCCCUGUGUAGCGGUGAAAUGCGUAGAGAUGGGGGAGAACACUCGUGGCGAAGGCGGCCAGCUAGACCAGUUCUGACACUGAGGCGCGACAGCGUGGGGAGCAAACAGG